CUUGCUUCUCUUGAGAGCGGCGGACGGGUGAGUAAUGCCUAGGAAUCUGCCUGGUAGUGGGGGAUAACGUCCGGAAACGGACGCUAAUACCGCAUACGUCCUACGGGAGAAAGCAGGGGACCUUCGGGCCUUGCGCUAUCAGAUGAGCCUAGGUCGGAUUAGCUAGUUGGUGGGGUAAUGGCUCACCAAGGCGACGAUCCGUAACUGGUCUGAGAGGAUGAUCAGUCACACUGGAACUGAGACACGGUCCAGACUCCUACGGGAGGCAGCAGUGGGGAAUAUUGGACAAUGGGCGAAAGCCUGAUCCAGCCAUGCCGCGUGUGUGAAGAAGGUCUUCGGAUUGUAAAGCACUUUAAGUUGGGAGGAAGGGCAGUAAAUUAAUACUUUGCUGUUUUGACGUUACCGACAGAAUAAGCACCGGCUAACUCUGUGCCAGCAGCCGCGGUAAUACAGAGGGUGCAAGCGUUAAUCGGAAUUACUGGGCGUAAAGCGCGCGUAGGUGGUUCGUUAAGUUGGAUGUGAAAUCCCCGGGCUCAACCUGGGAACUGCAUUCAAAACUGACGAGCUAGAGUAUGGUAGAGGGUGGUGGAAUUUCCUGUGUAGCGGUGAAAUGCGUAGAUAUAGGAAGGAACACCAGUGGCGAAGCGACCACCUGGACUGAUACUGACACUGAGUGCGAAAGCGUGGGGAGCAAACAGGAUUAGAUACCCUGGUAGUCCACGCCGUAAACGAUGUCAACUAGCCGUUGGGAGCCUUGAGCUCUUAGUGGCGCAGCUAACGCAUUAAAGUGACCGCCUGGGGAGUA
rnacentral:rRNA from 1 species